rnacentral:rRNA from 2 species
UACGAAGGGGGCUAGCGUUGCUCGGAAUGACUGGGCGUAAAGGGCGCGUAGGCGGACGGCACAGUCAGGCGUGAAAUUCCUGGGCUCAACCUGGGGACUGCGUCUGAGACGUGUUGUCUUGAGUAUGGAAGAGGGUUGUGGAAUUUCCAGUGUAGAGGUGAAAUUCGUAGAUAUUGGAAAGAACACCGGUGGCGAAGGCGGCAACCUGGUCCAUUACUGACGCUGAGGCGCGAAAGCGUGGGGAGCAAACAGG